UAUGUGAUCGUCUCUCGCAUAUCAAUAAGCGGAGGAAAAGAAACUAACAAGGAUUCCCCUAGUAACGGCGAGUGAAGCGGGAAGAGCUCAAAUUUGAAAUCUUAAAGGGUUUCCCUUUACGAAUUGUAGUUUAAAGAAGUGUUUUCUGUUGAGGUUUUGGUAAAAGUUCUUUGGAAUAGGACAUCAUAGAGGGUGAGAAUCCCGUAUUUGACCUUUACUUUCAACUUUGUGAUACACUUUCAAAGAGUCGGAUUGUUUGGGAAUGCAGUCCAAAAUGGGUGGUAAAUUUCAUCUAAAGCUAAAUAUUGGCGAGAGACCGAUAGCGAACAAGUACCGUGAGGGAAAGAUGAAAAGAACUUUGAAAAGAGAGUUAAACAGUACGUGAAAUUGUCAAAAGGGAAGCGUUUGACACCAGUGUUGUUUUUCUGAAAAUCAAUUAAAGAACUGUUUAUGCUAAGCUGUUUAGACUUUAUCAGCUAAUCUGUUUAGUUUUGAGCUUUUCUUUAAUGCACUUUUCAGUUAACAAGUCAACAUCAAUUUCUUUUGCUGUAAAAAAGCGUGAGGAAGGUGGCUUGAGAUUCGUCUUAAGUGUUUAUAGCCUCUUGCCUAUGCAGUCGAAGAGAUUGAGGUCUGCAGCGUAGAUCCUUCGGGGCUAAAUGCAUUUGUGCUAAGUUAUAACAUUUUAUAGACAACUUGUUGACUAUGAUUUGUCUUGUAGCUUACUCGCUUAUGUUAUUUUACCUACGCUUAGGAUGUUGACACACGCGCGUGCUCG
rnacentral:rRNA from 1 species